rnacentral:ribozyme from 1 species
AUGUACAUAUAUACUAUGCUAGUAAAAGAAAAAAGAAAAAAAGUAAGUAAAAGAAAAAAGUCCACAA